AGGAGGAAAAGCCCCAGUGGCGGGGCAGCUCUGCAGCCCUGGAUUCAGCCCCCGCAGGAACUCCAGAGCUCUCCGUCUGCAGGGCCUGGAGGCUCCGGGGCGGG
rnacentral:pre_miRNA from 1 species